GGCCUCCUGGUGCUUACCACAGGCUAUUUUCCAACACUGACCAUAGAGAAACAGGAGGCAGAAUAAACUUUCCUUAUAUACACCUCAGCCUAGGCCCUGUGUAUAUUCUGUAUUGUGAAUCGGGGAACACAG
rfam:Tupaia chinensis contig28074, whole genome shotgun sequence.